UAGGAGAUUCUUCAGAAAUGUAUUAACAACACCAGCUGUAUUAAUAAUAUAAUUAUAAAUUUUAACUCGUUAUUUUCCAAGGGAUUAUACAAUUGUCAAUAUACAAUUGUACGUCUGGACGAUAUAUCUUUGGUGCUUAAACCGGUGACCACCCGAUAUGAUGGAAGUAAAAACAAUGGGUAACCAAGAGGAAUACUAAACAACUUUAAACGUGAAUAUAACUACAUCAUCAUAAGUAUAAAAUAAUAAUACAGUGCCUACAUCAUUAUUUUAAUCGUGUUAAUAAAUAGACAAAAGAUACAAAGUUGCUAUUGAAAAUACUAAUGCAUAUUUCAUUAUUUAUACUUAGUCAAAUUUCAACAAUAGUAAUUAUUGGGCUCGAUAAGAUUAAAUUAUUGUUGCCAGUUGUUUGUUCAAGUCUACAAUCACACAGACAUUUUACGAGUCUAUAGCUUAGAUUUAUUUGGUAAGUACAUAAAAUGACUUGCAACG